AAGAGACAGCAGUAGCCGCGGGAAUACGUAGGGUGCAAGCGUUAAUCGGAAUUACUGGGCGUAAAGCGUGCGCAGGCGGUUUGUUAAGACAGAUGUGAAAUCCCCGGGCUCAACCUGGGAACUGCAUUUGUGACUGGCAAGCUAGAAUAUGGCAGAGGGGGGUGGAAUUCCGCGUGUAGCAGUGAAAUGCGUAGAUAUGCAGAGGAACACCGAUGGCGAAGGCAAUCCCCUGGACCUGUACUGACGCUCAUGCACGAAAGCGUGGGGAGCAAACAGGAUUAGAUACCCGAGUAGUCCCUGUCUCUUAUAC
rnacentral:rRNA from 1 species